GAUCGUUGAGGUCCGUGUUGUUUUUUUAGUUAUUUGUAUGUUUUAUAUGUUAGUCAAAUCUUGGAUAGGAGAUAUUUUCAGUAGGGAGUAUUAAUUAAUGAAGGAGGUUUUAAUUAGGAAUACAUGUUAGAGACGGAAAAUGGCGUGCCAGCAGCCGCGGUUAUACGUAAGUCUCAAAUUAAAAUUAUUUUAUGGAGUUUUAGUUUAGCGGGAAGAAAUUGUUUUGAAAAUUUUUAUAGGUAGAAUUUUAAAUUUUUGUAAAUGAUUUAUGGCUAAGUUUGUAAAUUAUUUUUUAAACCAGGAUUAGAUACCCUGUUAUUAAUUUUUAUUAAAUUCUGGACUAGUAAAUUUUUAGAAAUUUAACGGAUUUGGCGGCAAAAUAGCCCUUCUAGAGGAACCUGCCCUGUGAACGAUGGACCACGAGUUACCUUACUUUUAUUAGUAAUCAGUUUGUAUACCGCUGUUGUUAGUUAGUUUCUUUAGAAAACUUUCUUAAAUGGAAAAUCCAUUUACUUCAAGUAAAGGUGCAGCUUAUAUAAAAGAUAGAGGUGGGUUACAAUUAAUUAGAAUAAUUACGGAUGCCAGGUUGAAAAAUUUGGUUAAAGGUGGAUUUAGAAGUAAAUUUAUAAGGGAAUUGAUAUGAGCACUGUUUUGUGUACACACCGCCCGUCGCUCUCACUGAAAAUGAGAUAAGUCGUAACAAGGUAAGUGUAAUGGAAAUUGUACUUGUGGAGAU
rnacentral:ncRNA from 1 species